rnacentral:rRNA from 1 species
AUUGAACGCUAGCGGCAGGCCUAACACAUGCAAGUCGAGCGAGCGGCGGACGGGUGAGUAAUGUAUGGGGAACUGCCCGAUAGAGGGGGAUAACUACUGGAAACGGUGGCUAAUACCGCAUACUGUCUGAUGAACCCCUAUGGGAUUAGCUAGUAGGUAGGGUAAUGGAUUACCUAGGCGACGAUCCCUAGCUGGUCUGAGAGGAUGAUCAGCCACACUGGAACUGAGACACGGCCCAGACUCCUACGGGAGGCAGCAGUGGGGAAUAUUGCACAAGGGGCGCAAGCCUGAUGCAGCCAUGCCGCGUGUAUGAAGAAGGCCCUCGGGUUGUAAAGCACUUUCAGCGGGGAGGCGUUACCCACAGAAGAAGCACCGGCUAACUCCGUGCCAGCAGCCGCGGUAAUAC